CUUCAUUCCUAAGCCACCAGUUGUGCUGCCACCUUAUGUACCAAAGCCACCUAUUGUUAAACCACCGCCCUAUGUGCCAAAGCCACCUGUGGUGUUGCCACCUUAUAUACCAAAGCCACCUAUUGUUAAACCACCACCCUAUGUGCCCAAGCCGCCUAUUGUUAAACCACCACCUUACGUGCCAAAGCCACCUGUGGUGUUGCCACCCUAUGUGCCAAAGCCACCUAUUGUUGAACCACCACCCUAUGUGCCAAAGCCACCCGUCAUUUCCCCACCAUUUGUGCCAAAGCCACCUGUGGUGUCGCCACCUUAUGUACCAAAGCCGCCAGUUGUUGUAACUCCACCACCAUAUGUGCCAAAGCCACCUGUGGUUUCACCACCAUUUGUGCCAAAGCCACCUGUGGUGUCGCCACCAUAUGUACCAAAGCCACCUGUUGUUGUUACUCCACCACCAUAUGUGCCAAAGCCAC
rnacentral:lncRNA from 1 species